rnacentral:rRNA from 1 species
UACGUAGGGGCAAGCGUUGUCCGGAAUUAUUGGGCGUAAAGAGCGCGUAGGCGGUCCGAUAAGUCGGCUGUGAAAGUCCAGGGCUCAACCCUGGAAAGCCGGCCGAUACUGUCGGACUAGAGUCCGGAAGAGGCAAGUGGAAUUCCCGGUGUAGCGGUGAAAUGCGCAGAUAUCGGGAGGAACACCAAUGGCGAAGGCAGCUUGCUGGGACGGUACUGACGCUGAGGCGCGAAAGCGUGGGAGCA